AAUAGCUUUGUUUUAGGGGUAACUCCCCUCGCCUUGUGGGGAGGCUUAGGACGGGCGGGUGCAAUCCUCGAAGGGGAGUCUCAGCGACCAUGGGGGACACCAUCCACUAGAUGUCAGGCUGAAGGAGAUGAUGAAACUCUGUAAGCCGAAGAACAUGGGGAAAGAGGAGACACAGGAAGCAUUGUCAGUCUCUUACCCGGGUUUGGAGGGCACUGCCCUGCUCAGUCUGGGGGGAUGUGGUGACCCUCAGGACAGCCUCCCCAGCGCCCAGGCCCUGUCCAGGCCCAGGAUGAAGGCUGCCUCAUCCUCAGGCCUGGGACCCCUGCCAGCCAGGCCACCCGCAACGGUGUGGGACGUGAGUGCCGUUGCCCCCGGCGGUCCAGCAGCAGGACAGCCCCGAGCAGCCUGGCCUAGGAGGCUCACCGCAGCCGUCAAGGGAUUCUGGGCCACCCGCCCUUCCUUCUCCACCUUCUACUUCGUCUUUGCCAUUUUUGUGGUGUCCACCAUCUUUCACUGCCACCAGCACCUGGCUCUGGUGCCUGCGCCCUGGGCAUACUCAGCCCGUGUGGUCCUGGCCCCCAGACACCUGCCCCGGGAGGACCUGUUCACUAUCAACUCCAAGGGCCGCCUGGGGAACCAGAUGGGCGAGUACGCCACGCUGUACGCCCUGGCCAAGAUGAACGGGCGGCCCGCCUUCAUCCCGGCCCAGAUGCACAGCACCCUGGCCCCCAUCUUCAGAAUCACCCUGCCGGUGCUGCACAGCGCCACGGCCAGCAGGAUCCCCUGGCAGAACUACCACCUGAACGACUGGAUGGAGGAGGAGUACCGCCACAUCCCGGGGCGCUGUGUCCGCCUCACGGGCUACCCCUGCUCCUGGACCUUCUACCACCACCUCCGCCAGGAGAUCCUCCAGGAGUUCACCCUGCACGACCACGUGCGCGAGGAGGCCCAGAAGUUCCUGCGGGGCCUGCAGGCCAAGUGGGCAGGGCAGGCGACCUUCGUGGGGGUCCACGUGCGCCGGGGGGACUAUGUCCGUGUCAUGCCGCGCGUAUGGAAGGGGGUGCUGGCCGACCGGCUACCUGCAGCGGGCCCUGGACUGGUUCCGGGCCUGCUGCCGCCUCCCGGUCUUUGUGGUCACCAGCGAUGACAUGGCCUGGUGCCGGGAGAGCAUCAACAGCUCCCUUGGGGACGUGGUGUUCGCUGGCAAUGGCCUCCAGGGCUCACCUGCCAAGGACUUCGCACUGCUCACACAGUGCAACCACACCAUCAUCACCGUGGGCACCUUCGGGGUCUGGGCCGCGUACCUCGCGGGCGGGGACACUGUCUACCUGGCCAACUUCACCCUGCCCAACUCCCCUUUCAACGUGGUCUUUAGGCCGUAAGCGGCCUUCCUGCCAGAGUGGGUGGGCCUUGCGGCUGACCUUGGACAGGCUGGACAGAACGGCCUCUAGCCAGCCCUGCAUGUGCCUGGUCCUCAUCCUGUGACCCGAGGGGCAGUGAGUGGGGCGUGCGGGGCAUGGACUCACGGUCCCUCAUGCAGUUUGGAUCCAGGCUUAUCUACUUCAUAGCUGAGUGAGUUUGGACAACUGACUCAACCUCUGUGCCUUAGUAUGUCAACCACAAAAUGCACAAACCACAGAACUAAACACCAGUAGCAGCUGGUGGGAGCUGAGCAAAUUCGCUUAGAGCCAGUGCCUUGUGACCGUGUGGGAGGUGUCGGCUGCUCACAUGUAUGCAGCACGUCAGGAACACUGGCAUUGCUUUCCAAUGGAAACGCAGUUUUGCCCUCUCCUUCCUGGCAGCACUGGUAGCACAGAGCCCAGAUAUUUUGCACUCACGUCCCAGGACGAAGCCAUCCCUGCCCUGAAGGAUAGGGGAACUCGAUUUUCUGGGCAACUAGGAAUUUUGGCUUUGGAGUUAGUGGGCCUUAUCACAAAAGAAUGUGAGGGAAGGGCCGGGUGCGGUGGCACGCCUGUAAUCCCAGCCCUUUGGGAAGCCAAGGCUGGUGGAUCACUUGAGGUCAGGAGUUCGAGACCAGCCUGGCCAACAUGGCGAAACCCAGUCUCUACUAAAAAUACAAAAAGCCAGGCACGGUGGUGCGUGCCCCUAAUCCCAGCUACUCCGGAGGCUGAAGCAGGAGGAUAGCUUGAAUUGGGAAGCAGAGGUUGCAGUAAACCGAGAUCAUACCACUGCACUCCAGCCUGGGCCACAGAGCGAGACUCCAUCGCAAAAAAAAAAAAAAAAAUAGAAUUCCAGGGAAGACAGGAUUUGCAGGGACACACCUAUGAGGAGGGAUUCCCCUGCGAUGGACAGGGGAGGGGUUUAGGUGCAGGUAGCACCCUGGGCGCAGGGAAGAAGGCGUCACAGUGAGGGCAGAAAAGACACUCCUCAGAUCCUGGAAGCAGCAACCUGACCCCCAGGGGCCACUAAGACCAAAUCAUGGCCAUCUCAGCAGCAGCGUGUGUGACAGUUACUGGAAAAAGAUACCUCACACCUGGCACUGCCUAACCCCCGAGAACCUAAUGCCACUCUGAGAAAGCUCAGUACGGGUGCAAGUUGGAUUAAGUAAUUGCAGUGCGAGUUUUCCUGUGUUUUAUUGGUGUAAUGCUCCUUUUGGACAUUAAAAAAACUUGACAUAUACAAUGAUCA